CUUUUAAGAUAACAGCAUUUUUUCAUGGGGGUCUUUCAGAAUCCUUACGUGAAAGCUAGAGAAGGCAUGGUGCUCUUCCCAGGAUUCACAUUUCUGUUUUAAAGACUGGAUGAUGCUGUAUGGUUGUUUGCAAGCUUAUUAAAUUGGAAGGUAUCCCAAAUAAAGGUCCUCAGAAAUGGAGGCACACGUAGAUGACGGCUAAGGACAUGCUCACGAAGGCAAGUCUGUAGGCAGCUGGUUAUUCAGUCUUUCUCUUCGGCCUCUCUCUCUUGGCAUUCUACCUUCAUCUGGAAAAAAAUUUAAAAGCAAGUUACUCUAUAGGCCCUCACUCAAGCGCCUGACUUCCCUGGGAAGUUUGAUUCUCGCAUUCAAAAUACAUGUGGAAUUUGGUUCAGUUAAAUUUUAUGACACCAGAAUUGUUGUAAAGCAAUAAAUUAUUAUUGUGUAAUUUGUUUCUGUUUGUUAUCUUAAAUAUUAGUGAUUUCUGUUUUUAACUUCGAGGGAAAACAAUAGGCUAUUAACUUUUCUUAACCUUCGAUGCAGAGCUCCAGCUGAGCUAGCAAAGGACAUUGCUGCAAAGAAAAACUGUCUAUUUUUUUCUUUAACAAUUUAACUUUCUUUUAUCCUUGAAAAUGUAUCACUAUAAAUGUUUUACAAUCAGGGCUGUUUCUUUUCUGCAUCAUACAGAUUGAUUUGUAUAGAUGUACAUGCAUGGCUAUUAAAUAUAUGUUGUUAUAAAGUGGUGGGUGUCAGUACAAUGAUGUUACUAAUAAAUAGCAGCUAACAGAGCACAUCCUCUGUGCCAGGCACUGUUGUAAGCAUUUUACAUAGAGUUGCUCAAUGUAAAACCACUUUUAUCUGGUUGUCUUUAUUUUUCUGGCAAAACUCUUAAGAAUCUAUGCUAUAAUAAAUUCCACAAAUCAGCCUUUACCUCCCCAGCAAGAAUAGCUAGAAUUCCAAGUUUUUCUAUUUAUUAAUUUGAGUCUCAGAGGCUGUCAACUUUUUAGAUUCAUGCUGUUGGCAAAGUUUGAUCUGAAUACACAGCAAGUAUCUGCUUUGUUUAUCUUAGAAUAUAAAGUAGUAAACAAAAUGUAAGAUAACUUUGUGCUUAGUAUAAGCCCUUAAUGUUAGCUUCACUGAAAUAGGAGAUGCAAUAAAAAUAUUGAUUUGAAGUCUG